CAGUUCAUUUAUUUAAAAGUAUAUAUUUGUGUUAUUAAAGUAAUCAAUCUGCAUGCUCUUGCGGUUGCUUGGAUAUAUUUGUUUGAUCGAUAUUUUACAUAAAGCGCUUUGCAAGGUUUUACAACGAACAAGAACGAAAGUUAUACCGAUUCGAACGAAUCUAAAUUCGGCUAUCAUGGCGAUAGUUAUAAAAGAUUAUCAGUGGCGACAAACGGAUAAAAGAAUAAUAAUUUACGUGCCUCUAAAAGGUCGCCCUAAAAAUGUGGAUUUAUUUGUUAUGGACAAUUACAUAAAGAUUAGCUUUUCACCUUUUAUUUUGGAAUUAUUUCUGUGGGAAAACGUGCUUGAAGAGGAGAGCGAAUGCACUUUGACGGAUAUUGAGGCUAUUUUUUCUUUGCAAAAAGCGGACAUAACUAUUGAUUGGCCAACACUCGAGGUGAAGAACAUUACCAAGAGUGAAAAGUGUCACAUUAAAAAUCGAGUUUUAGAGAAAUUGCAAAGCGUUAUGGAAAACCGUGCAAAAUUAAGGAAAGAAAAACUUCAAAAUCUGCAAAAGGAAGCGAUAAAAAUACAAGUUAAUUUGGAUACUGAAACAUCGAAUAAAAUAGAGGUUUUGCGAAACAGUCAACGGAAAGCUGCAAUGCAAGAGUUCGAAGAAUGGCGAUCAAAUGCGGAAAUGCCGAUCUUCCAGGACAUUUCGGGAAAAGUGCAAAAAAAUAGGAAAGCGUAUAGGCCUCCACUCAAAUGGUUCAAGGAUGAUCUCGACAUAAUACAAUGUCGAGAAAUUGAUGUAGGAGAAAUAAAUAAAGAAGGCGGAACAGAAGAAAAACAAAAUGAAUCUAUAACUAUAGAAGAAUUAAAGGAAGAAUCAACUACUGAAGAGAAAUUCAAGAAAGGUUCAAUCGUUGACGAAGGUAUGAAAAAAAAAUUAAUUGUUGAAGAAAACCUGAAGGAAGACCCGAAUGAAAUUACUGAAGAAAAUCCGAAAAAAGCAACAGUUGAAGAACGUCUGAAGGAUGAUCAUCAAUCAAUCAAUCAAACGGAUUUAAAAAAAGACAUAAAUCUCAACGGAAAUGUAGGAAAGAAAAGGGAUGUCGGGAUAAAGGCAACAACGAAUCUGAGCAAAAAUGUUAAUUUUGAAGAAUGUUCCAGUUGUUCCGAGGAUUCCUCAUCAGAUGACGAGAUUACAUCCUCCAAGUCUCCAACAAAUUUUUUAGUUAAGGAAAUGGAUCAGAAAUCCUUGCAGAAGUUCUAUACGAACAUGGAGAAGCAAAGACCAGAUCGGGAUUUGAUUGAUAGAAUACUGAAGGGUCAAUAUCCUAAAAUAAAUCAAAUAUUUGAUGACCCUACAAAGGCGAUUCCACUUCCUAGAAAAAGCGGAACGAUCAAUGUAACUUUUUCCGAACGGGCCUUCCCCACUCCGGCGAGAGAGAGUUCUCACGUAGAAGAACAGGAAUGGCUCUCCAAGCAAGCGGAAGCUAGAAGAAAAACAGGAUUCGUUGCUGAAGAUCUUUGCCCUGAAGAACAGGAUCCGCAAUGGCUUAAAGACAAGGGCGAUGAGUUCUUCAAGGUGGGAAAUUACUUAGCUGCUAUCAGUGCAUAUACACAUGGAAUUAAAAUCAGCGACAAGUUGGCGGCGCUUUAUGUGAACAGAUCCGCUGCACAUUAUGCUCUUGGAAAUUAUUAUAGGUGUAUCGAUGAUUGUUCUAAGGUAUUAGAACUGAUGGAACCAAAGUGUGAAAGCAACAGGGUAUCGCGAGCAAGGUGUCACGCUCGUCGAGGUGCUGCGCUUUGCAAAUUAUCCGCACCACAGCAUGGAAUCCCCGAACUAGAAGCUGCGUUGAAACUAGAUCCGAAUAACGAGAGCAUUAAACGCGAUCUUUAUACCGUUAGACAAUAUUUUAAUGUAAAGGAAUGAAAAGAAGACGACUGUGGCUUAAAUUUUCCCUCUGUAGAAAUUUUAGAAUUUUUCAACUUAUUUAUUUGCCAAUAAGUUGCUGUAUAUAUGAUUCAUACAGAUAAUUAAAAUAUAAAAAAGAUCAGUUGCUGUCUUCGAGAUAGUUUUCCUUGUUCAAAACCUGGAAUUCUUCAUAGCCAGAAUUUUAUCCAUGCAGGCGCACUUGGUAUGCUCGACAGCAUGGAUGACUUCAUGGUGACGAUCUCGUUGUUGAUCAAUGCGAUGUCUGACCAUGAAAACGAGGCUGACAUUUCUGGUUUCGAUCGGGAUACAGAUCUGUUUGGAGUCGGGACAGCACCCUGAUCCAACGCAGCGUGUCAGAACCGUAAAUGCAGGAUAAAAAGCUUCGUCCGGUCCGAGGCCUACGGUCAGGAGAUCCUCCACUGGGAUUGCUCGUGGUUGGGGCAAUGAACAUUGAAACUGGUGCACCAGCUGCACAUGGCUCAAAAAAUCACUGUCUCUAUAUCGAACGAGAACGUGUACAGGUAAUUAAUUAAAACUGAAGCAAGUAAAAGAAAGAAAAGACAAUGAAAAAAAAAAUCAAGAGAAAUAAGAACCAAAAAUUCAGAGAUGAAAAACGAAACAAAAAAGAAAAGGUUAAAAAUUAAAAAAUUUGAUGAAUAAUCAUGUUGUUAAAGAAAUUGAAAAAUCUGAGUACAUUGUCCUCUUACCUAUGAUGCUUGCCAACGACAAUUAAUGCAACCUGAAUGCAGAUUACCAACAACAAAAGUUUCUUCAUCUUUGAAAUGAGACUCUCUAAAUGAGCUUUCACAAGUUGUUAAAUCACUACAGUAUCUUAUCGAUAAGUAUAAAUCAAUGAUUACUGUAAUAUUUGUAAAGACACACUUUCGUAGAGGUAAUCAAUAACUUUGCUCAAAAAUUGAAAAUAAAUUGGGGUUAUUGAAUAGCGAUCACACUACAAUAUUUUUCGAACUUUAAUUUCUUUCGUUGAUAAUUAUUCUUUCAAAAGAAUGGUUUUAUGAAUGAAACAGUCUUAUUUUUAAUUAAACGCGAAUUAAAACGGAAUAAUUGAACUUCAGGUGUGCGAAAUCCUUUAAAGAUCUUUAAAUCUUUUUAAGAUUUUUAAAUUUGUUUCACUCUGGGUCGAAGAAUGAAAGAAGUAAAUAAUCCAGGAAAGUAAGACUUAAAAUCUUUUUUCAAGUCAAAAAGAGAUUUUUCUUUUAGGAAGAAUUCUUCUUUCACUCAAUUCCAAACUCUCAUAAGUUAAUUUUCACACUUCCGUCAAUUUUCACUUUAGUCAACUUCAAAUUUUAUUUUUGAAAGUAUCCCUUCUUUCCUUCAGAAGUAUUUAAUUAACCAUUCCGAUGAAUUUGAUACGCAGUCGAUUUUCUCUUCCAGAAGCCAACUUUCUUCAAUCUUUUCUUCGAACUUCACGGCUUUUUGCACCGAAGAAGACCACUGCAACUACCGCCAAGUUCUGAGAUCAGAAUUCUUUCAUUCUGUGUAUAUACGUAACUGUUAUCCAGCUUUCGCCUCGCCUACCUUCUCGUCUUCCCUUCUCCGAUUUCUUCUCUCUCUCUCUUUCUCUCUUUCGUUGCCACUUGCUCCUUGAUUUCUCUUCGCGAAGAGGUCUUCCUGCGACUUCCCGGUAAGAGGAGAAGAUUUAAGAAGGGAUCAAUCUAACCGUUCCAAGAAGCUCUUCGAAAUAACCGUAAUUACUGAAAGUACCUCGCGUGACUUUUCUCUUUCUCGCUUCAUUUCCUUCAUCUUCUGAGUGCUUUCUUCUUCCUUAUUUUCUCUCCUCCUCUUAUCUGGCCACCUGGUUUGGGAUGCAGGAAUCGGGGGAGCGCAGCGAAAUAAAGUGAAGAGAUCACGUUUUUAAAUUUAAUAGUUAAUUGAAGAUACUUAAUCGUAUGAGCUACUCACAAUCUUAAACUUUGCGUGUCAUUACAAAUUUUAUAUUAAAUCUUUUAAUUUUCGAUUUUUUUUAAAUGAUAUAAUUAAAAAUUGAUUGGUCUUUAAAACAAUUAAUUAUUAGAUUUCUAAGGAAAUUUAUAAAACAUCUCUCAAAAUGUGGAUCUAAUACAUUUAUACUGCAGUCAAAUGUAAAGAAAUAAACACAGAAAAUAAAAAGUUGUUUUAAUAUGUGAAAAAUAGCUUUUGGCUGCUCAUUUUUAAUAGUGGAAUAUUUAACUUCUAAUAACUUUUAAUAAUGGAAACGAUAAGGAAAAUCACCGCACUGCUGUGUAUAUGAUUCAUCUACAAUAAAAGAACCAAGAAUAUCAUUCAUUUUUGUGAACGGGAAUCACCUUUGAUGGGGAUGGCAAUUAUUAGCAUUGCGACUUAUAUGGCUGAGAUACAAUCUAUUACAGUAAUAUGUAUAUAUAAACGUCUACGUCGUGUCUAGUCGAGUAUUCUGAGAGUCAUUCUAAAGACUCAUUUCCUUAUUUCCAUAAGAAUCGUGGAUUCCCGGCUGUCGUUUAGAUAUAAUUAAAUAUACAAUAGGUCUAUAAAUAAGCAAAAGAAUUGCAGAGGAAAGUUUAAUGCGUGAAUAAUUACAAUGCUUGUAACUAUAAUUAAUUUAUUCUUGUAAUGUAUACAAAAUUGCUUUAAAAAUUUUUGAAUAUAGGGAACAAAUAUAUAAAUAUAAAAAUAAAUAAAUAAUGAAUAUUAAUUUAAAAAUAUUAAAUUAUGCUAUUGUGAGUGUGCGAAAUCAGAGAAUAAAAUAAUAUUUUUUAAUAUAAUUUGUAUUCUGUUUUUUUAUAAGUGGACAAUGUUACAAGUUGUUUUUGUAGAAAAAAAUUGUUACUUCAUUAAUAUAUGAAUUUCUAAAAUCAGCGCACUUGUAAUCGCGCAAUUUUAUUUCUCUCAUUAUAAAUAAUUGAUUUGUGCGCAUAAAGUACGAUACCCAUGAAUUAAACACAAAUCCGGAUAAUUGUUUCACACGAUUCAAAUGAGGUAGGUUCUUUGUUAUCGCGUCAUCAAUACUCAGAUUGAGGAAGCAAAUUAAAAUUCCUUACACAGAUUGGACCAGAGUGGGUCAUCGAAAGUCCUGACAAAAUUCGCAAUGCUUCAACGAUCAUGUUUCAAAGAUUAAGUCAUCGUUGAGUGAGUCAUAGUAUUCAUAAAUAAGUGGAUGACCAUCACAAAAAAUGGUGGCAAUUAUAUUACUGAAUAUAUAAUAAAAAAAUGAAGAUAAAAGAUUUCAUGGUUGAAUUAGGAAAAUAAAAGAGCUAAUGCUAUCGUGAAAGAUUCGAUAAAUAUCUAUUUGAAAUUUAAAGUCAAUGGGGUUCGUAACAAGAUCGUUGAUGAUAGUGUGAUAGUCACUGUUAAUGGUAGCAAUUAAGUCUACGAGUCAUCUUCACUACCAUAGAAAAAUCAGAAACAGCGUUCACAGUCCAGAUUCAAUUAUAGCAUAGAUUAAUCAUUUCGUGUAAUUAUAAACUAGGCCGUAUCACAUUUUAUUUCUAGAACAGGAACCUGGUCAAUGAGUUACAAAGAGGAAGUUACGUCUGCGAUGAGUAUACCCAUGGUAUUCGAAUAAUUACGUCAGUUUAUACGUCAUUCUUACGUACUUUUGAUUAUAACUUACGUAUGAAUGACUUGGCAAAAUAAAUCCUUGGAUAAUAGCACGCUGUGAAUGACGUCAUUAAUAAGGGAACUCCCGACAUAGGAAAGAAGACAUCUACGGCUACGUGUUCCCAUCUGCGUCACAAAACGGGGAACGCCUUCAUGAUGAUUAAGCCUUUCUCAACAGUCGCAAUAUUCCGAUGAAAUCCCUUUGCAACUUUGAUCUGCACCGUACACUUACUUGUGUAACAAAAAAUAGGAUUGAAAACGUAAAUCAUCCUAAUCACAAUAUUAGUAAGAUCGAAAGGAAUGUUAUGAAGAUGGUAUAUAUCAGCUAAGAUCCUUUGAAAAAAGGAACUGAUGAAAGUGUUUUAAUAAAUUGAUUAUUAUAUCAGUAACUAAUGAUAUUUCAUCAGUUGCUGAGCACUGCUAGAAUUCGAGCCUAAGCCUUUCCGCUUUCUGAGGUAGACACUGUCGUUGAGUUAUAAUUUAUUGAUUCUAUAUUUAUCUAAAUGUCCUACAUAAAAUUACCUAUUUAUAUAUUAUUACUUUUAUAUAUAUUUAAAUAUGUAAUAAUAUAUUUUAAAAUAAAAGUAUAUAAUACAUGCUUGUAUACCUUGAGUAUACAGAA